rnacentral:rRNA from 1 species
UUGAAGAGUUUGAUCAUGGCUCAGAUUGAACGCUGGCGGCAGGCCUAACACAUGCAAGUCGAACGGUAGCACAGAGAGCUUGCUCUCGGGUGACGAGUGGCGGACGGGUGAGUAAUGUCUGGGAAACUGCCUGAUGGAGGGGGAUAACUACUGGAAACGGUAGCUAAUACCGCAUAACGUCGCAAGACCAAAGAGGGGAACCUUCGGGCCUCUUGCCAUCAGAUGUGCCCAGAUGGGAUUAGCUAGUAGGUGGGGUAACGGCUCACCUAGGCGACGAUCCCUAGCUGGUCUGAGAGGAUGACCAGCCACACUGGAACUGAGACACGGUCCAGACUCCUACGGGAGGCAGCAGUGGGGAAUAUUGCACAAUGGGCGCAAGCCUGAUGCAGCCAUGCCGCGUGUAUGAAGAAGGCCUUCGGGUUGUAAAGUACUUUCAGCGGGGAGGAAGGUGUUGUGGUUAAUAACCACAGCAAUUGACGUUACCCGCAGAAGAAGCACCGGCUAACUCCGUGCCAGCAGCCGCGGUAAUACGGAGGGUGCAAGCGUUAAUCGGAAUUACUGGGCGUAAAGCGCACGCAGGCGGUCUGUCAAGUCGGAUGUGAAAUCCCCGGGCUCAACCUGGGAACUGCAUUCGAAACUGGCAGGCUAGAGUCUUGUAGAGGGGGUAGAAUUCCAGGUGUAGCGGUGAAAUGCGUAGAGAUCUGGAGGAAUACCGGUGGCGAAGGCGGCCCCCUGGACAAAGACUGACGCUCAGGUGCGAAAGCGUGGGGAGCAAACAGGAUUAGAUACCCUGGUAGUCCACGCCGUAAACGAUGUCGACUUGGAGGUUGUGCCCUUGAGGCGUGGCUUCCGGAGCUAACGCGUUAAGUCGACCGCCUGGGGAGUACGGCCGCAAGGUUAAAACUCAAAUGAAUUGACGGGGGCCCGCACAAGCGGUGGAGCAUGUGGUUUAAUUCGAUGCAACGCGAAGAACCUUACCUACUCUUGACAUCCAGAGAACUUAGCAGAGAUGCUUUGGUGCCUUCGGGAACUCUGAGACAGGUGCUGCAUGGCUGUCGUCAGCUCGUGUUGUGAAAUGUUGGGUUAAGUCCCGCAACGAGCGCAACCCUUAUCCUUUGUUGCCAGCGGUUAGGCCGGGAACUCAAAGGAGACUGCCAGUGAUAAACUGGAGGAAGGUGGGGAUGACGUCAAGUCAUCAUGGCCCUUACGAGUAGGGCUACACACGUGCUACAAUGGCGCAUACAAAGAGAAGCGACCUCGCGAGAGCAAGCGGACCUCAUAAAGUGCGUCGUAGUCCGGAUUGGAGUCUGCAACUCGACUCCAUGAAGUCGGAAUCGCUAGUAAUCGUAGAUCAGAAUGCUACGGUGAAUACGUUCCCGGGCCUUGUACACACCGCCCGUCACACCAUGGGAGUGGGUUGCAAAAGAAGUAGGUAGCUUAACCUUCGGGAGGGCGCUUACCACUUUGUGAUUCAUGACUGGGGUGAAGUCGUAACAAGGUAACCGUAGGGGAACCUGCGGUUGGAUCACCUCCUU